UCUCCUGGAAAAACGGUGGUAAUGCCGGAUGCUCCGACUCCUCGCAUGGGGUGUCGGGAAAGAUUUCAUCGGUAUGGGAUGGGGUCGCGUCCUAUCAGGUAGUCGGCGGGGUAACGGCCCACCGAGCCUACGACGGGUAGCCGGCCUGAGAGGGCGACCGGCCACAUUGGGACUGAGAUACGGCCCAGACUCCUACGGGAGGCAGCAGUGGGGAAUAUUGCACAAUGGGCGCAAGCCUGAUGCAGCGACGCCGCGUGCGGGAUGACGGCCUUCGGGUUGUAAACCGCUUUUGAUCGGGAGCAAGCCUUCGGGUGAGUGUACCUUUCGAAUAAGCACCGGCUAACUACGUGCCAGCAGCCGCGGUAAUACGUAGGGUGCAAGCGUUAUCCGGAAUUAUUGGGCGUAAAGGGCUCGUAGGCGGUUCGUCGCGUCCGGUGUGAAAGUCCAUCGCUUAACGGUGGAUCUGCGCCGGGUACGGGCGGGCUGGAGUGCGGUAGGGGAGACUGGAAUUCCCGGUGUAACGGUGGAAUGUGUAGAUAUCG
rnacentral:rRNA from 1 species